GGGGCGGGACUCAAGCGCCACCCAUUUUUUCCUCCAAAAAUAUAAUAUAAUAUAUAAUUAAUAAUUAUAAAGAAAUAUAAAAAUAAGCAAAAAAAACGUUCCUCCAUUCAUCAUUUUAGUGACUAGGGUUUACUCCCCAUAUCUCAAUCUCACAAAAUCCCUAAUUCCUCAUCAUUUUGACAACCUGUUCAUUGAAAUUUGUGCUUGAUUUCUUCAUUCAAACUGGCAAUUUGUGUCUUCAACUGUUCUUCACGACCUUUUAGGGGUUUACGACUAUUCGGUUUUGGUGUGUUGUUUCGGGUAUAUUUUGUAUUUUUGUUCUGUGACAUGUCGUACUGUGCGAUUGAGUUGGGGUUAUCAUCGGAGGAGAGUCAGCUCGCCAGGAGGUCAUUAUCAGCGGGAGAAAAGAUUCUCUGUGGCCAUUGUUGGUCAUAUCAUCCGUGCUUCCUCAUAUUUCCUGGCUGCCAGGCUUUCAAGAUUUGUAACCCACUGUAUGAUGGUGAUAAUAGCUUUUGUGCACAUCCACGCAAGCUUUAUGAGUUGUUGCUGUGGAGGAAGAUCAAGAUCACCCCCUUCUAGUCGAAUCCCGCUUUUCACUUCCUUUAUUUUGAGGUAGACAGGGAGGCGAGCUUGAGCCAGACUCAUAGAAGCUGUUGGCCGAUUGAAAGCACUCAUUUGUUUCGGAGGUGCUUGAUCAUUCUUUUGUGUAUAUGUUAGGCUCGACGGGGGUCCCGUCCCGUCUAUGCGUUUUGUACUUCAGUAGAGGCUCGUAGAUACACAGUGUGGGUUAUGUGGUCUGACAGGGUCACUAUGGCAUAAUUGUAUAUAUUAUUUUGAUAGCCUAAAGGGCUUAUAUAUAUGGAACUAUUUAUGUUUACAAAUGAAACAUGACUUUCUUAUGAUUUGAGUAUAAAAAUCAAUAAAAGAGUAGUUAAUGAGCAUGAUGAGUAGCAGAAUGAGUGGUGCUCGGUUGUUAGCCCCGGGUACCCGUCGCAGCCCCUAGCUGGGUCGUGACAAAAGUGGUAUCAGAGCCAGGUUCAGUCCUAGGAAGUGUCUACGAGCCGUGUUUAGUAGAGUCUUGUUUAUGAUGUGUUGCGCGCCAGAUCAAUAAACAAGAGGCUACAUGGCAUUUAGAAAACUUGACCAUCUUUCUUCUCAUGGAAUCGUCCGAUAGAGCCAUGUAUAAGAUUUUAUCUUCCCUAAUAGUGUGUUAUGAUUUCAGAAUGCCACCAAAGGGAAAGGCGACAGCCGCCCAGAAGGGCAAGACUACGACAAAGAGGCGAGUAGAAAGAGAGCCUCCGAUGAAUAUAGAAGAAGGCGAAUCACAUAAUGAGGCCUUGUCUAAUACUUCUUCUACCCCGCCUAAUGUGGAAGAGCCAGGAGGAGGCCCAGCUCCAAUCCGUCUACUGGUUGCUACGGGUCAACAAAUGACCGAGGCCAUACAUCUAUUGACACAAUUGGUUACCGCACAGGCACAACGACAAAAUGUGAGUUCAAGUGAUCGGGCAUCAAGUACCAAAGCCCGUGAUUUCAUGAGUCUAAAUCCUCCGGAGUUCUUCGGGUCAAAACCGGAUGAAGACCAGCCAAGUUUCAUAGAUGAGAUGUUGAGGACAUUGAAGAUUUUCCAUGCCUCCGAAACUGAAUCCGUGGAGUUGGCAUCUUAUAGACUCUGGGAUGUGGCAAUUUUAUGGUAUAACAACUGGGUAUUAUCAAGGGGAGAGAAUGAGCCUCCUCCGAUUUGGCAAGAAUUCGUGGAUGCAUUUAUUCGUCACUAUUUGCCACCCGAGGUCCGCCGAGCUAGAGCGGAUAGAUUUCUACAUCUGAGGCAAGGAAAUAUGAGUGCCCGGGAGUAUAGCAUGCAAUUUAAUUCCUUCGUAAGAUAUGCCCCGACUAUGGUGGUCCACAUGGGAGAUCGUGUACAUAGAUUUGUGAGUGGCUUGGGGCAUAUUUGUUCAAGGACUUCUUGACGGCCUCUUUGCAAGAAGGGAUGGAUAUUUCCCGAAUACAAGCCCAUGCCCAGAACUUAGAGGGAUGACAACAACCACAAAGGGGUGAUCACGACAGUGAUAGAAGACAAAACAAGAGGGCUAGAUCUAUGGGCACAGGCAGUGAUUAUAGAGGGGGAUCCAGGCAGACCUAUACCCGACAUUCAGGUCAGUCAAUGACUAGUGCGCCUUCACGAUUCGCGGAUAGGGGAUUUGAUCGCUCUUUUCCUUCAGGACAGGGUCAGAGUUCGAGAGCUUCAGGUUCGAGAUUUGGGGGUGAUUACAGUCAGAGGAGACCACCAGUUCCACGAUGUAGCCGGUGCCAGAAACUACACUCAGGGCCAUGUCGCCCACAGGCUCAACAGCUGGUUCUUCAUCAGUACGCCCGGUAGGAUAGACUUCCCAGAUGUCAGCAGGCCGAGGUAGAGGCAGAGGGGUAGCAUCUACUUCAGGUGUCAUUCAGCCCCGUGUAUAUGCUUUAGCCGGACGACAGGAUCUAGAGUCCUCUCCGAAUGUGGUUACAGGUAUAUUGUCUAUAUUUUCCGGUGAUGUGUAUGCAUUGAUAGAUCCGGGUUCUACAUUCUCUUAUAUUACUCCAUAUGUUGCUGGUUGUAUUGGGGUGAAACCUGAGCUAAUCAAACCUUUUAAGGUGUCUACUCCGGUUGGUGAUCCCGUGAUAGCAAGACAAGUGUACAAAAAUUGUGUAGUUGUGAUAUGUGAUGACCAGACCACGGUUGAUUUUAUUGAGUUGAAAAUGUUAUAUUUCGAUGUAAUUAUGGGCAUGGAUUGGUUGGCAUAGUGUUAUGCUAAUGUUGAUUGCCGAUUGAAAGUGGUUCGAUUCCAAUUUCCGGGAGAGCCCGUGCUUGAAUGGAAGGGUAAUACAGCAUCUCCGAAGGGUAGGUUUAUUUUCUACCUUAAGGCAAGAAAGAUGAUAGCCAAGGGCUAUACUUAUCAUCUAGCUCGGGUUCAUGAUACCGAGGCAAAGUCGCCAACUUUCGAAUCCGUUCCGGUAGUGAAUGAAUUCCCAGAUGUAUUUCCUGAUGAGCUUCCAGGUCUUCAUCCAGAAAGAGAGAUUAACUUCGCCAUUGAUGUGUUUCCAGACACCAAGCCUAUUUCUAUUCCUCCGUAUCGAAUGGCCCCGACAAAUUUGAAGGAGUUAAAGGCACAGUUGAGAGAUUUGCUCGAAAAGGGGUUUAUGAGACCCAGUUCAUCACCGUGGGGAGCACCGGUCUUGUUCGUGAGGAAGAAAGACGGAUCUCUAUGAAUGUGUAUCGACUACAGGCAAUUGAACAAGGUGACGAUAAAGAACAAAUAUCCUCUUCCAAGGAUUGAUGACUUAUUCGAUCAAUUGCAAGGUGCCAAGCGGUUUUCUAAAAUAGAUUUAAGGUCGGGUUACCAUCAAGUGAGGGUUAGAAAAGUGGAUAUUCCCAAAACAGCCUUCAGAACGAGAUAUGGCCACUAUGAAUUCCGGGUGAUGUCAUUUGGAUUGACUAAUGCUCCGACCGUGUUUAUGAACUUGAUGAACAAUGUAUUCAGGCCUCUCUUGGACUUAUUUGUGAUAGUAUUUAUUGAUGAUAUUCUGGUGUAUUCUCGCACAGAAUCAGAACAUGCAGAUCAUUUGCAAAUUGUUCUUGGCAUUCUUCGAGCCCGAGAAUUGUAUGCAAAAUUUUCAAAGUGCGAGUUCUAGCUAAAUUCUAUGACAUUUCUAGGCCAUGUUAUUUCAGAUGAUGGCAUUCGAGUCGACACUCAGAAAAUUGAAGCUGUGAAGACUUGGGCAAGCCCUACGACGCCUACAGAAGUGUGUAGUUUUCUGGGGUUGGCAGGUUAUUAUAGAAGAUUCGUAGAGGGCUUCUCAUCUAUUUCAGCCCCAUCGACGAAGCUAACCCAGAAGUCAGCUAAAUUUCAGUGGGAUGAUGCUUGUGAACGAAAAUUCCCAGAGUUGAAGGGGCAGAUUGACCUCAGCUCCGAUUUUAACACUUCCAGAAGGGUCGGAUGGCUAUGUGGUAUAUUGUGACGCUUCCGGUGUCAGAUUAGGAUGCGUAUUGAUGCAACAUGGUAAAGUUAUUGCAUAUGCUUCGAGACAAUUACGGAAACAUGAAAAUAAUCAUCCAACUCAUGACCUCGAAUUGGCUGCGGUUAUUCAUGCCUUAAAAAUAUGGAGGCAUUAUUUGUAUGGUGUGCAUAUGGAUAUCUAUACAGAUCACAAAAGUCUUCAAUAUAUUUUCAAACAGAAAGAGUUGAACCUACGGCAGAGGCGGUGGUUAGAAUUGUUAAAAGAUUAUGAUGUGAACAUUUUGUACCACCACGGAAAAGCGAAUGAAGUAGCCGAUGCGCUUAGCCGCCGAUCAAUGGGUAGUUUAUGUGAAGUCCCUCCAGAAAAGAAAAAGAUGGUUCAUGAGCUCCACCAAUUAGCUAAUCUGGGAGUACGUGUAAUUGAUUCAGGUAAUGCAGGGAUUAGCAUCAAUGACCCCUCAACUUCGUCCUUGGAUAUGGAAGUGAAAGAACGGCAAUAUGAAGAUCCUCAAUUGUGUCGUUACAGGGACACAUCUCAUGGAAAAGAGAAGUCUUCAUUUGAAGUUUCUAUGGACAAAAUUCUUAGGUACCGAGGCAGAUUAUGUGUGCCGAAUGUAGCAGAAUUGCGCCGACGAAUUCUAGAAGAAGCACAUUGUUCUCUGUAUUCUAUUCAUCCAGGUGCAACCAAAAUGUAUCGUGAUCUCAAGAUGAUGUAUUGGUGGGGUGGCAUGAAGAGAGACAUAGCCGAAUUUGUAGCACAAUGUCCAAAUUGCCAACAAGUAAAGAUCGAACAUCAAAAGCCAGGAGGCUUAUUACAAGCAAUGGAAAUCCCUAUUUGGAAAUGGGAAGUGAUUAACAUGGAUUUUAUUGUGGGAUUACCUCAUUCUUGAGGCAAGUAUGAUUCGAUAUGGGUGAUUGUGGACAGACUCACAAAAGCGGCCCAUUUUCUUCCAGUUAGAACUACCUACUCAGCAGAAGAUUAUGCGAGGUUAUAUCUCAAAGAAAUUGUGUGACUUCAUGUUAUUCCAUUAUCUAUUAUUACAGAUAGAGGAGCACAGUUUACAACCAAGUUCUGGAAGACUUUUCAAGAAGGUCUAGGCACUCAAGUGAAACUUAGUACGACAUUUCAUCCACAGACUGAUGGACAAGCCGAACGUGCUAUUCAGACCUUGGAGGAUAUGCUACAAGCAUGUGUGCUGGAUUUCGGUGGUAGUUGGGACGAUCAUUUACCGCUAAUCAAAUUUGCAUACAAUAAUAGUUACCAUUCCAGCAUUCAAAUGGCCCCAUAUGAAGCUUUAUAUUGAAGGAAAUAUAGAUCCCCAAUCGGAUGGUUUGAAAUAGAAGAAGCACAACUAGUAGGCCCUAAAUUGAUUCAGCAAGCGGUGGAAAAAGUUAAGGUGAUCCGAGAUCGAUUGUUAACCGCCCAAAGUUGCCAAAAGUCUUAUGCAGACAAUCGCCGAUGAGACUUGGAAUUUCAAGCUGGUAAUUGGGUAUUUUUGAAAGUAUCGCCAAUGAAAGAGGUGAUGAGAUUUGAUAAGAAAGGGAAGCUAAGCCCUAGAUACAUUGAACCCUACAGAAUUAUCCGCAAGGUGGGUCUUGUAGCCUAUGAAUUGGAUUUUCCUUCGGAGCUUGAAUCAGUCCAUCCAGUCUUCCACGUUUCGAUGCUCCGCAAGUGUAUUGGAGAUCCUACAAAGAUUGUCCCAAUAGAUGAUGUGCAAGUGACAGAAAAGCUAACCUAUGAAGAGGUUCCUAUUGCUAUUUAAGACAGGCAAGUGCGAAGACUCUGAAAUAAAGAGGUAGCUUCAGUUAAAGUCUUGUGGCGAAAUAAUAACCGAGAAGAAAUGACUUGGGAAACGGAAGAAAGUAUGAAGUCCGAGUACCCGCAUUUAUUUCAACCCCCAGAAGAGACUCAAGAUGGAACGCCAACAAUAUGAGGUAAGUAUGCAAUAAAUGAAGUGUAAUAAUUAGAGUAUCUGAACACCCCUAUUUCCAUCAUUACUCAGAUAUUAUAUCCCCUAUUUUCGGGAGCUUUCGUAAGUCUUUCUUAGAAUUUAUUUUGUGUUGUGGCCCUGUGAGGCAAUGAUAUUAUGGGUUGUUGUGGCAGGAUAGUAGUGCCAUAUUACAGGGGAAACUCUAGCGAAAUUUUCACAGAAUCCCGAGUGUUUAACAUUCGAGGACGAAUGUUCCAAAAGGGGGGAAGAAUGUUACACCUCGUAAAUUUCCCCGUGAAUGUACAACGAAUUGACUAACGAAGAAUAUGAGUAUAUGGUGUUUCAAUCAGAAGGGAAUUACGUUUGACGACCCUAAGUAAGAUUUCAAAGGCAAUGGGAAAAAGAGAUAGGUUAUGCUCCACAAUGACUAAUUAUAGGUUUUGAAGACUUGAAAGUCGCAGAUUUGCAUUUUGGCCCAGUCGACCGUAAAGUGAAAUACGGACCGUAAAGUGGUAUAUGGCCCGUAAACCACCAUGACGUAUUUCAACUCGCAAAACUUCAACUUUCUGUCAAAUGUUUAAAUGGUUAAAUACGACUUGGAAUACGGACCGUAAAUUGAAAUACGGGCCCGUAAACUGCGACCGUAAAUCACCAUGAUCCUCAGCAUACCUUUCUGGUUUUGAUAUGCUUAAAUACGACUGCGAUAUACGUCCCGUAAACUGGAAUAUGGACCGUAAACUGGGUUUACGACCACUGUGCACUUCAACUACUGUUCAUUCCGGAUCAGAUUUUAAGUCAUUAAAAGGAGACCCAAGCUCAUUAAGUUCAUUUCAUCUUCACGACCUUUCUCUCUAGAAACAUCUAGAAUACUCUCUAAUACUCCUCCACAAGAGAAUCAAAGGAAAACCAAGAUCAACAACACCAAAUCAUGAAACAAAGUGUAUGAAACUCAAGUGAAAGCUCAUCCAGAUCAAGAAAACCCAAGGGAGGUGAAGCAGGGUUUUGGGUGCUAGAGGAGAAACUCCACUCAAGACUUGUUCAACCAUCAUCUAAGGUAAGUUUCAUGACUAAACCAUGUUGUUUAAGGUAAUGGAAGAUUAAGAUACUUGAAUUGUAGAAAGACAUAAGAAAUGGGUCAUUAAUGAGUGAAUAGUGCCAUGUUUGGAUGGUAGUUAGAUUGAAUCAUAAAUGUUGGGGUGUUGUGAGAAUGAACACGUCAUAAAUGAAAUUUAGGCCAUGAAAUAAGUAUUAUAUACGAGGAAACGCGAUAGUAAGCUAUAACCAUAAAUGUGGAGAAAUUGAAGAGAAAUAGUGGAUUAUGGUGAAUGUAUAUGAAUGAUGAUUGUUGAUUGCAAUAUUGUGAAUGUUGUUGUGAGCAUUUGAGAGUUGAUAUAGACUAUGGGAAAAGCAGUAUAAACAAAGGAAGUGCUGCCCAAUUUUCCCUAGAUUUAGAAAGGUCGUUCUUACAAUUGCUUAGCUAAUGACGAUAUAAAUUCUCUUGAAGGUAGAACUUGUGCAUUAAAGGAGAACACGCAGGCGAUAGAUUAGCUAAAAGUCAAAGGUAUGUAAGGCUUAUCCCUUCCUUCAAAGGCAUGAAUCUUCCAAGUUUUUCCAUGAUCCUCCUAUAUGAUGGAGCUUAUAAGUCCGUAAAUAUACUAAACUACAUACGAGCAUGAUAGUUAUGAUGAUGAGUUAAAGUAUAGCGAUUCGAGAGUUCAUGAUAUUAUUGCUCACACUCACCUUAUGUAUUUUUCCUUCAAGGUGAGGCAGGCUACUCGUAAAUGUUCAUAAUAUAAUCGGGGGCUUACGACCUUACCUCACCCCGACAUAGCCAUGGUUGUCUUCAAAGUCUAAUGUAUACUCCUAAUGCUAAAUGUGAAUUGAUAUAAAGUCAUGGUAUGUUUAUAAGAUGAUCAAUAAUGCUAACUUAUAAUAUUCCUAUGUUGUGUAUUAAUAUGCCAAGCUAUGAUAAGAUUAUGAUACGUUCAUGAGAUGUGUAAUAGUGAUGGGUAAUGAUUGAUUUUGUGAUGAUGAGAUUCCACCGCGCCUAGAUGCCCGGGCAUGUUUGUCACGACCCAACUAGGGGCCGCGACGGGUACCCGGAGCUAGAUACCGAGCACCGCUCACUCUACUACUCAUUUUACUCAUUUAGUGAUCUUUUGCCAGUUUUACGCAUGAAAGUAUAGGAAACAUAAUUUGUAUCAAAACAUAAGUACUUUAUAUACAUAUGCCUCUCGUCCAUCAACAUAAUAUAUACAUAAUAAUAGAAUAUUUUGAGACCACCUGAUCCACACUACGUAUCUACGAGCCUCUACUAUCAUAAUGAAUACAUAGACGGAACAAGACUCUGUCGUGCCCAAAAUAUAUAUACAUAUAUACCAAAGAGAAAUCAUAAGCACCUCCGAACAAUGGAGUGCUCCCAACAGCUGACAGCUCCUAAGUAUUUGGAUCAAGCUCGCCUCCCUGUCUACCUGUGGGCAUGAACACAACGUCCAAAGAAGGGACGUCAGUAUGAGUAUUGUACUGAGUAUGAGAGGCAUGAACAAUGAAGAAAGGCAUCAAUAAUAUAAUGAGAGCAUCAAUAUAAAGCAUAUGGAUCUGACCGAUAAUCAUAAAUGAAAUAAUGCAUGUUGUCUUACUCAUACUUAUCAUCGUAACAUGUAUGCAUCAUAUGCAAGCUGCCCGCCCAUGUCGGAACGGUGUGAUAAUCAAUAAUAUAAGCCCUUGUCCAGGCCUCCCGC